CGGAGGAAAAGAAACUAACAAGGAUUCCCCUAGUAGCGGCGAGCGAAGCGGGAAGAGCCCAAGAUGAAAAUCUCUUUGGAGAAUUGUAGUCUGAGUGUCCUUGGGUGGUCAGUGCGGGCAAGUCGUCUGGAAUGGCGCGCCAUGGAGGGUGAGAGCCCCGUCCAUCCCGCACAGGAUCCAUCCGCACAAGGGCGCUUCAACCGAGUCGGGUAGCUUGGGAAUGCUGCUCUAAUUGGUGGUAAAUCUCAUCAAAGGCUAAAUAGCGGUGGGAGACCGAUAGCGAACAAGUACCGUGAGGGAAAGAUGGAAAGAACUUUGAAAAGAGAGUGAAAAGCACUUGAAACCGUCACGGGGGAAGCGGAUUGCGUGAGUGAUGGCGUCGCCUGUUCAGCGCUUUGUUGCGUGCAUUCUGGCGGCGCCGUGCCGGCGUGGCUGGCGGGUGUGUGAUUUUGACACACCGGCUGGUGAGGGCUCCCCUUUCGGGUGAGGACGCGGGCAAAAUGACGCAAUACGACCCGUCUUGAAACACGGACCAAGGAGUCUAGCACGGCUGCGAGUCGAAGGGUGAUUAAACCCAAGGGCGCAGUGAAAGCGAAGUGAUAAGCAAAUUGGGGAGGCGUUGCGUUUCUAACAAAAUGUCCUACCUCGAGCAAUUGUGCUGGGACCCGAAAGAUGGUGAACUAUGCCGGAGUAGGGCAAAGCCAGAGGAAACUCUGGUGGAGGCUCGUAGCGAUGCUGACGUGCAAAUCGCUCGUCGAACUUGGGUAUAGGGGCGAAAGACUAAUCGAACCAUCUAGUAGCUGGUUCCCUCCGAAGUUUCUCUCAGGAUAGCGGGCCGACACGCGUUUGUUGUUUUGUGCGGUAAAGCGAAUGAUUAGUGCAUUCGGGGGCCGAAGGCCUUCAGGCGAUUCUCAAACUUUAAAUGCGCAAGGGGGCGGCUGCUUAAUUGAGCCUGCUCUUUGAAAAACGUCGGCCCUGUGGGCCACUUUUGGUAAGCAGAACUGGCGAUAAGGGAUGAACCUUAAGCGCGGUUAAGGCGCCUCAUUGCCCGCUUAUAGACCCCACAAAAGGUGUUGAUUCAUAUAGACAGCAGGACGGUGGCCAUGGAAGUCGGAAUCCGCUAAGGAGUGUGUAACAACUCACCUGCCGAAUGAAUUAGCCCUGAAAAUGGAUGGCGCUUAAGCGGGCAGCCGACACCGCGCCGUUCGGGCGAGACGAUGCCCGAAUGAGUAGGAGGGCGUGGCGGUCAGUGACGCAGGCGCAGGUGCAGACCUCGCUGAAACGGCCGCUAGUGCAGAUCUUGGUGGUAGUAGCAAAUAUUCAAGCGAGAUCCUUGAAGGGYGAAGCGGGGAAGGGUUCCACGCAAACAUUGAUUGGGCGUGGGUGAGUCGUUCCUAAGCCGAGUGGCAAUUGCUAAGUAGCGGCGAAAGGGAAGCGGGUUAAAAUUCCCGCACACAGAUAUGGAGGCGGCGACGCAAGCAGAGGCAAAUACGCUGGCGAAGGCGCUGGGCAGAGUUUUCUUUUCUGUUUGACCGGCAUCGCGCCGUGUGGAAUCCGCUUAUCGGGAGAAACACGCGCGGGGAGGGCAGAGCGUCAGGUUUUUUCUGGCGUCCGGCUCGCCUUCGACGGCCCCUGAAAAUUUGCCCGCGACGAUUUCUUGUAAACAAAUUUCAUGCUGUGACGUACCGAUAACCGCAUCAGGUCCCCAAGGUGAACAGCCUCUGCUCAAUAUGAACAAUGCAGGUAAGGGAAGUCGGCAAAAUAGACCCGUAACUUUGGGAAAAGGGUUGGCUCUAGUGGAGUGGGGGUUUUCAAAGGGGGCUCACCUGUGCUCGACGCUGGGCGGGCGUGGCUAUACUCUCUCGGGAGCAUGGACGCGACUGCUCGGCGACCCGCGUGGGGGACGCUACUCGCCCUCGGUAUACUCCAGACUAGAACUGCAACGGGCAAAGGGAAUCCGACUGUUUAAUUAAAACAAAGCAUUGCGAAGGCCGUGGCCGGUGAUGACGCAAU
rnacentral:rRNA from 1 species